rnacentral:lncRNA from 1 species
AAAGGAGUAUACUUUGAAAGGCUGCGCAUUUGGCUGUAUGAAUAAAAAACAUUCAUUUUAAUAAAAAAAGUGUACUUUGGGUUUAAGAGUCAUAAACCUUUGCUGGUCACAGAGCUUAUUCUCUCAUAUAAUCCAAAGGCCAAUGGAAAAAUCCUAUAGGAUUUUUAUGGAGGGAACCAGGGCAAUGUAAACUUUCAGGAUGGCCCACAAAAAUCAUACCUGCAGCUCUCUAUGGGGUUUAGAAAGCAUACUUAAGUAGGUCUUUUAAGUGUAGGCAAACCCCAGAAAACCCCUCGGUAUAACAACCAGCGUUUUCUUUGGGAAACUUUAAUAUCAGAUCCAAGCAGGGCAGUAGAGUAUCAGUUCGUCAGCGUGAGAAACAAUUAAUUGGUUUCUGCCAAGACCUCGAGAGCCCACCCAGACUCCUUUCAAGCUAGUCUGGAACUGUGUUGAGAGUCGGCGGGGCUAACUAAUGCAGGAGGGAGUUGAGCCACUGGAACUGUUAACGCCCGCCCGCUGAGAUGAGCAGCAGCGCCUCCAUCUGAUUCUUCUACUAGUCUGUCACUGAGGCUUAUGACUGAGAAACUGCAAGUAAGGCAAAUACAUCAGAGUCAUACAGAGACAUGGUUUGAGAGCAGGAAAGGAAGCAAGUGUGCUCUGCAGUGAAGCAUGGACUAAUUUUUAAACUCCCCUGGGUUUGUGUAACAGACAUGGCAACCAUAAAAUCUGACUCGUCCUCUGCUUUUCACACCUACACAGUUUUUACCACCGUUCAUCUCUCUCCACUGAUCCUUUUACAUUUGGUUCCUUCCUUUCUUGUAGUCCUUCACAAUUCUGUGAAUGCGAAUCUGUCACCGACUGCAUGCUUACUACACCUGCAGACUCAGGCAGGUGUCUUAUAUAUACUGUAGUCUGGAUCUUGGCAUAACACUUGAGUACCCGAGGUCAGAAAAACCUUCAGCUUGGGUUCGAUUCAGGACAGAUUGGGCAUUGUGUCAGUUCCAGGUUUUCAAAUGUGACUCAUUGUUCCCAACAGAACUUAUCCAUUGCAAUAUUCAAAGCCUUCCCCCAUAUAGGAAAAUCUAUUUCUGCUGUAUGGAUGACAAACUGGGAUUAUUUAUGUAUUGAAUCAGCCAAGAUUCAUUUUGUGAUUCCAGAAGUUUCAAGAACUGUAUGUUCUUCUGUAAAGCAAUGGUUACAUUAAUUUUGAUGGUCCCCUUUAGACAUUGUUGACUAUAACUAGCUUUGCAAAUACACACCAACUAACUCUUACUAGAGUAUUAGUAGACUGUUAAAUUUAGAGUUAGUAGUAGAAAAGUCAUGCUUGCGAAGUUAUUCAUAGUAAGUAGAAUGUCUGUUUGUGCACCAUCAAAACAAAAUGUUUGCAGAUAUUAAGCAGAUAGUCUAUUAAUGACAUAGUUGCGAAGUUACUUACUGCGCUUUUCCACUGCAUGGUACGGCACGGCUUGCUUUUGGGGGGU